rnacentral:rRNA from 1 species
AUACAGGGUGACAGCCCCGUACACAAAAAUGCACAUGCUGUGAGCUCGAUGAGUAGGGCGGGACACGUGGUAUCCUGUCUGAAUAUGGGGGGACCAUCCUCCAAGGCUAAAUACUCCUGACUGACCGAUAGUGAACCAGUACCGUGAGGGAAAGGCGAAAAGAACCCCGGCGAGGGGAGUGAAAAAGAACCUGAAACCGUGUACGUACAAGCAGUGGGAGCACGCUUAGGCGUGUGACUGCGUACCUUUUGUAUAAUGGGUCAGCGACUUAUAUUCUGUAGCAAGGUUAACCGAAUAGGGGAGCCGAAGGGAAACCGAGUCUUAACUGGGCGUUAAGUUGCAGGGUAUAGACCCGAAACCCGGUGAUCUAGCCAUGGGCAGGUUGAAGGUUGGGUAACACUAACUGGAGGACCGAACCGACUAAUGUUGAAAAAUUAGCGGAUGACUUGUGGCUGGGGGUGAAAGGCCAAUCAAACCGGGAGAUAGCUGGUUCUCCCCGAAAGCUAUUUAGGUAGCGCCUCGUGAAUUCAUCUCCGGGGGUAGAGCACUGUUUCGGCAAGGGGGUCAUCCCGACUUACCAACCCGAUGCAAACUGCGAAUACCGGAGAAUGUUAUCACGGGAGACACACGGCGGGUGCUAACGUCCGUCGUGAAGAGGGAAACAACCCAGACCGCCAGCUAAGGUCCCAAAGUCAUGGUUAAGUGGGAAACGAUGUGGGAAGGCCCAGACAGCCAGGAUGUUGGCUUAGAAGCAGCCAUCAUUUAAAGAAAGCGUAAUAGCUCACUGGUCGAGUCGGCCUGCGCGGAAGAUGUAACGGGGCUAAACCAUGCACCGAAGCUGCGGCAGCGACGCUUAUGCGUUGUUGGGUAGGGGAGCGUUCUGUAAGCCUGUGAAGGUGUGCUGUGAGGCAUGCUGGAGGUAUCAGAAGUGCGAAUGCUGACAUAAGUAACGAUAAAGCGGGUGAAAAGCCCGCUCGCCGGAAGACCAAGGGUUCCUGUCCAACGUUAAUCGGGGCAGGGUGAGUCGACCCCUAAGGCGAGGCCGAAAGGCGUAGUCGAUGGGAAACAGGUUAAUAUUCCUGUACUUGGUGUUACUGCGAAGGGGGGACGGAGAAGGCUAUGUUGGCCGGGCGACGGUUGUCCCGGUUUAAGCGUGUAGGCUGGUUUUCCAGGCAAAUCCGGAAAAUCAAGGCUGAGGCGUGAUGACGAGGCACUACGGUGCUGAAGCAACAAAUGCCCUGCUUCCAGGAAAAGCCUCUAAGCAUCAGGUAACAUCAAAUCGUACCCCAAACCGACACAGGUGGUCAGGUAGAGAAUACCAAGGCGCUUGAGAGAACUCGGGUGAAGGAACUAGGCAAAAUGGUGCCGUAACUUCGGGAGAAGGCACGCUGAUAUGUAGGUGAAGUCCCUCGCGGAUGGAGCUGAAAUCAGUCGAAGAUACCAGCUGGCUGCAACUGUUUAUUAAAAACACAGCACUGUGCAAACACGAAAGUGGACGUAUACGGUGUGACGCCUGCCCGGUGCCGGAAGGUUAAUUGAUGGGGUUAGCGCAAGCGAAGCUCUUGAUCGAAGCCCCGGUAAACGGCGGCCGUAACUAUAACGGUCCUAAGGUAGCGAAAUUCCUUGUCGGGUAAGUUCCGACCUGCACGAAUGGCGUAAUGAUGGCCAGGCUGUCUCCACCCGAGACUCAGUGAAAUUGAACUCGCUGUGAAGAUGCAGUGUACCCGCGGCAAGACGGAAAGACCCCGUGAACCUUUACUAUAGCUUGACACUGAACAUUGAGCCUUGAUGUGUAGGAUAGGUGGGAGGCUUUGAAGUGUGGACGCCAGUCUGCAUGGAGCCGACCUUGAAAUACCACCCUUUAAUGUUUGAUGUUCUAACGUUGACCCGUAAUCCGGGUUGCGGACAGUGUCUGGUGGGUAGUUUGACUGGGGCGGUCUCCUCCUAAAGAGUAACGGAGGAGCACGAAGGUUGGCUAAUCCUGGUCGGACAUCAGGAGGUUAGUGCAAUGGCAUAAGCCAGCUUGACUGCGAGCGUGACGGCGCGAGCAGGUGCGAAAGCAGGUCAUAGUGAUCCGGUGGUUCUGAAUGGAAGGGCCAUCGCUCAACGGAUAAAAGGUACUCCGGGGAUAACAGGCUGAUACCGCCCAAGAGUUCAUAUCGACGGCGGUGUUUGGCACCUCGAUGUCGGCUCAUCACAUCCUGGGGCUGAAGUAGGUCCCAAGGGUAUGGCUGUUCGCCAUUUAAAGUGGUACGCGAGCUGGGUUUAGAACGUCGUGAGACAGUUCGGUCCCUAUCUGCCGUGGGCGCUGGAGAACUGAGGGGGGCUGCUCCUAGUACGAGAGGACCGGAGUGGACGCAUCACUGGUGUUCGGGUUGUCAUGCCAAUGGCACUGCCCGGUAGCUAAAUGCGGAAGAGAUAAGUGCUGAAAGCAUCUAAGCACGAAACUUGCCCCGAGAUGAGUUCUCCCUGACUCCUUGAGAGUCCUGAAGGAACGUUGAAGACGACGACGUUGAUAGGCCGGGUGUGUAAGCGCAGCGAUGCGUUGAGCUAACCGGUACUAAUGAACCGUGAGG